rnacentral:rRNA from 1 species
UGGGGAAUUUUGCGCAAUGGGCUAACGCCUGACGCAGCAACGCCGCGUGGAGGAUGAAGGUCCUUGGAUUGUAAACUCCUGUCAGCAGGGAAAAAGCGAGCCGACCUAAUACGUCGGCGAGUUGAUUGUACCUGCAGAGGAAGCCCCGGCUAACUCUGUGCCAGCAGCCGCGGUAAUACAGAGGGGGCAAGCGUUAUUCGGAAUUAUUGGGCGUAAAGGGCGCGUAGGCGGCUUUGCAAGUGGAAGGUGAAAUCCCUCGGCUUAACCGAGGAACUGCCUUCCAGACUGUGAGGCUUGAGACCGGGAGAGGUGAGUGGAAUUCCCAGUGUAGCGGUGAAAUGCGUAGAUAUUGGGAGGAACACCAGUGGCGAAGGCGGCUCACUGGACCGGUACUGACGCUGAGGCGCGAAAGCGUGGGGAGCAAACGG